CAAUCCCUCCAAAUUAUUUUUCAUUUUCCUCCUUAAUAUUAAUUAACUAUUUUUUUAUAUUUUAUUCAUCAAUAUCCUAGAGGAAUGACAAAUGAAAAUCAACUGAAACCCUAGCACUCAAAAUUCAUCUCUAUUUACUGCAGGAUCGAUUACUCUGAACAUCAAAAGAGUUUGAGGCUCUGUUGUUGCAUAGUUGUUGCGCUUCUUCUUCUGCAUCGUCACUCGAGGAAUCCAUGCUAUUUUUCUGAAAUUGAAGGAGCCAAAAGUUGCACCUCUGAGCUUAAGUUAUCAAGUACCAAAGCGGGAAGUAGAAAGGGAAUGGACAUAUAUAUGAUAGAGGACUGUGAGAAACUCAAAGUUGGAGGCAUGGAUACCUCUGAACCUCAUUCAAGUGGUAAAGGAAAAAACCAUCAAGGUAGUGCAGUAUACAAGGCAUAUAGCCCAGUAGACUAGUGGUGAGGUAGUAUAUGGCAUGAGAAGGCAAACAACUAUUCUUUGAACGUUUGCUAGAGAUUAAGUAGUUGUUCAGAUAUCUGGCAUGUGGAAAAUUGCAUCAUGAUCUAGAGUUGGAGAAACUUUCAUGGCACCAUUUAUAUAUAGUAUUAUAGCUAUUUGAUAAUGCCAGUUAUUAGGUGCCAAAUUACGCUAGUUAUUUAAUUCAAAUAUGUUACCUUUUUGGUUAUGUUGUAGACACUUUAAAAUUAUGAAAUAGUAGAUUUUGUUGUGUAUUUAA